CACAGGUUCAAUCCCUGCCCUCGCUCAGUGGGUCAAGGAUACGGCGUGGCCUUGAACUGUGAGGUAACAGCUGUAGCUCCGAUUCGACCCCUAGCCUGGGAACUGACAUACGCCUCGGGUACGGCCCUAAAAAGCAAAAUAAAAUAAGAAAGUAAACUUGACAGUCACUGAUAAGUUCCAUUCUCUUGGCUUCCUGAGCCCGUCACUGAAGUGUGUCUGUCACUUUCAGGUUCCUGCAUGAUUCCAGUUCAGCAGCUCAGAGUAACGGCCCAUCCUCCCAGAAUCCUCCUGCCGGGUCAGAACCAACUGAAG
rnacentral:lncRNA from 1 species